GGAGAGAUGCCAGAGUGGCUGAAUGGGAUGGUCUCGAAAACCGUUAGGGAAAUUUUUUCCUUCGAGGGUUCAAAUCCCUCUCUCUCCACCA
rnacentral:tRNA from 1 species